rnacentral:rRNA from 1 species
GAUGAACGCUGGCGGCGUGCCUAAUACAUGCAAGUCGAGCGAACGGACGAGAAGCUUGCUUUUCUGAUGUUAGCGGCGGACGGGUGAGUAACACGUGGAUAACCUACCUAUAAGACUGGGAUAACUUCGGGAAACCGGAGCUAAUACCGGAUAAUAUUUUGAACCGCAUGGUUCAAAAGUGAAAGACGGUCUUGCUGUCACUUAUAGAUAGAUCCGCGCUGCAUUAGCUAGUUGGUAAGGUAACGGCUUACCAAGGCAACGAUGCAUAGCCGACCUGAGAGGGUGAUCGGCCACACUGGAACUGAGACACGGUCCAGACUCCUACGGGAGGCAGCAGUAGGGAAUCUUCCGCAAUGGGCGAAAGCCUGACGGAGCAACGCCGCGCGAGUGAUGAAGGUCUUCGGAUCGUAAAACUCUGUUAUUAGGGAAGAACAUAUGUGUAAGUAACUGUGCACAUCUUGACGGUACCUAAUCAGAAAGCCACGGCUAACUACGUG